GAGUUUGAUCAUGGCUCAGAAUGAACGCUGGCGGCGUGCUUAACACAUGCAAGUCGUACGAGAACGCUCUAGCUUGCUAGGGCAAGUAAAGUGGCGCACGGGUGAGUAACGCGUGGGCAAUCUACCUUCGAAUUGGGGAUAACGUUGCGAAAGCGACGCUAAUACCGAAUAAUAUCCAAUUAUCUUCGGAUUUUUGGAUCAAGGGUGGCCUCUUCUUGAAAGCUACUGUUUGAAGAUGAGCCCGCGUACCAUUAGCUUGUUGGUGGGGUAACGGCCUACCAAGGCAACGAUGGUUAGCUGGUCUGAGAGGAUGAUCAGCCACACUGGAACUGACACACGGUCCAGACUCCUACGGGAGGCAGCAGUGAGGAAUUUUGCGCAAUGGGGGAAACCCUGACGCAGCAACGCCGCGUGAGUGAUGAAGGCUUUCGGGUCGUAAAGCUCUGUCAAGUGGGAAGAACCUAUGCAGUGUUAAUAUCACUGUAUACUGACGGUACCACUGAAGGAAGCACCGGCUAACUCCGUGCCAGCAGCCGCGGUAA
rnacentral:rRNA from 1 species